GACGAACGCUGGCGGCGUGCCUAAUACAUGCAAGUUGAGCGCUGAAGGUUGGUACUUGUACCAACUGGAUUAGCAGCGAACGGGUGAGUAACGCGUGGGGAAUCUGCCUUUGAGCGUGGGACAACAUUUGGAAACGAAUGCUAAUACCGCAUAAAAACUUUAAACACAAGUUUUAAGUUUGAAAGAUGCAAUUGCAUCACUCUAAGAUUAUCCCGCGUUGUAUUAGCUAGUUGGUGAGGUAAAGGCUCACCAAGGCGAUGAUACAUAGCCGACCUGAGAGGGUGAUCGGCCACAUUGGGACUGGGACAAGGCCCAAACUCCUAAGGGAGGCAGCAGUAGGGAAUCUUCGGCAAUGGACGAAAGUCUGACCGGGCAACGCCGCGUGAGUGAAGAAAGUUUUCGGAUCGUAAAACUCUGUUGGUAGAGAAGAACGUUGGUGGGAGUGGAAAGCUCAUCAAGUGACGGUAACUACCCAGAAAGGGACGGCUAACUACGUG
rnacentral:rRNA from 1 species